rnacentral:rRNA from 1 species
AGUGAACGCUGGCGGUAGGCCUAACACAUGCAAGUCGAACGGCAGCACAGUAAGAGCUUGCUCUUACGGGUGGCGAGUGGCGGACGGGUGAGGAAUACAUCGGAAUCUACUUUUUCGUGGGGGAUAACGUAGGGAAACUUACGCUAAUACCGCAUACGACCUACGGGUGAAAGCAGGGGAUCUUCGGACCUUGCGCGAUUGAAUGAGCCGAUGUCGGAUUAGCUAGUUGGCGGGGUAAAGGCCCACCAAGGCGACGAUCCGUAGCUGGUCUGAGAGGAUGAUCAGCCACACUGGAACUGAGACACGGUCCAGACUCCUACGGGAGGCAGCAGUGGGGAAUAUUGGACAAUGGGCGCAAGCCUGAUCCAGCCAUGCCGCGUGGGUGAAGAAGGCCUUCGGGUUGUAAAGCCCUUUUGUUGGGAAAGAAAAGCAGCAGAUUAAUACCCCGCUGUUCUGACGGUACCCAAAGAAUAAGCACCGGCUAACUUCGUG